CCUACGGGGGGCUGCAGUGGGGAAUAUUGCACAAUGGGGGAAACCCUGAUGCAGCGACGCCGCGUGAGUGAAGAAGUAAUUCUUUAUGGAAAGCUCUAUCAGCAGGGAAGCAAAUCACGGUACCUGAGUCAGACGCCCCGGCUAACUACGUUCCAGCAGCCGCGGUAAUACGUAGGGGGCAAGCGGUAUCCGGCUUUAAUGGGUGUAAAGGGAGCGUAGACGGCAGUGCAAGUCUGGAGUGAAAGGCGGGGGCUCAACCCCCGGACUGCUCUGGAAACUGUACGGCUGGAGUGCAGGAGAGGUAAGUGGAAUGCCUAGUGUAGCGGUGAAAUGCGUAGAUAUUAGGAGGAACACCAGUGGCGAAGGCGGCUUACUGGACUGUAACUGACGUUGAGGCUCGAAAGCGUGGGGAGCAAACAGGAUUAGAUACCCCAGUAGUC
rnacentral:rRNA from 1 species